UGGGGAAUAUUGGACAAUGGGCGCAAGCCUGAUCCAGCCAUGCCGCGUGAGUGAUGAAGGCCCUAGGGUUGUAAAGCUCUUUCACCGGUGAAGAUAAUGACGGUAACCGGAGAAGAAGCCCCGGCUAACUUCGUGCCAGCAGCCGCGGUAAUACGAAGGGGGCUAGCGUUGUUCGGAUUUACUGGGCGUAAAGCGCACGUAGGCGGACUAUUAAGUCAGGGGUGAAAUCCCGGGGCUCAACCCCGGAACUGCCUUUGAUACUGGUAGUCUUGAGUUCGAGAGAGGUGAGUGGAAUUCCGAGUGUAGAGGUGACAUUCGUAGAUAUUCGGAGGAACACCAGUGGCGAAGGCGGCUCACUGGCUCGAUACUGACACUGAGGUGCGAAAGCGUGGGGAGCAAACCGG
rnacentral:rRNA from 1 species